rnacentral:lncRNA from 1 species
UACACUUCCGGCGCGCAGCGGGCGGCCAUGUUGGAGCAGCGGAGGCGGCGCAGAGGCGCGUCUUGGGUCCCCGCGGCGGCGCCGGUGCCAAGCGCUGAUUUGUGGAUACCCAGGCA